GCAGCCACCCGACUUGGCCAUGGCGAGUGCCUCCAGCUCACAGGCCCUGAGGCCGCGCCGCCGGCUGCCCUCAAACUCGAGGCGCUCGGACGUGGCGAGGACGCAGAGGUGCCUUGUCCUUCUCACACUCCGCGAAGGCCAGCCACUCGAGUCGCCAGAGUAGUCGUCCCGGUCGCCGCCGCUGCUUCAAAGGCAGCCUUAGCCUCGCUGCAGCCCCGAUUUCCUCACACACACACACCGAGAGGGACAAUAAACAGAGCCGCCGCCGCCGCCGCCACGGUCACCUCCCUCUUGUCCGGCAUAACACCGCACACACACAUUUGCACACCGGGGAG
rnacentral:lncRNA from 10 species